rnacentral:rRNA from 1 species
AUACGGAGGGUGCGAGCGUUAAUCGGAAUUACUGGGCGUAAAGCGCGCGUAGGCGGCUUGGUCAGUCGGAUGUGAAAGCCCCGGGCUUAACCUGGGAAUUGCAUUCGAUACUGCCAGGCUAGAAUGUAGUAGAGGGAAGUGGAAUUCAGGGUGUAGCGGUGAAAUGCGUAGAGAUCCUGAGGAACAUCAGUGGCGAAGGCGACUUCCUGGACUAACAUUGACGCUGAGGUGCGAAAGCGUGGGGAGCAAACAGGAUUAGAAACCCCGGUAGUCC